CAACAUGGAUCGCUACCAUACAGAAAACCGCACUUUUGCGAACUGCGCUUUCGGCAUCGUCAUAAGCCUAUGAUAUAAAAAGAACCAUGGCCAUCGUCGCUGCGCAUUUCUCCGCGUUCCAAUGGACCUGUUACGAACGAUAAAUAUAAUCCAGUCCUGAUUCUUAAUAAAGAUAAAAAAAAAU